rnacentral:rRNA from 1 species
GACGAACGCUGGCGGCGUGCCUAAUACAUGCAAGUAGAACGCUGAAGGAGGAGCUUGCUCUUCUGGAUGAGUUGCGAACGGGUGAGUAACGCGUAGGUAACCUGCCUGGUAGCGGGGGAUAACUAUUGGAAACGAUAGCUAAUACCGCAUAACAGUAGAUGUUGCAUGACAUUUACUUAAAAGGUGCAAUUGCAUCACUACCAUAUGGACCUGCGUUGUAUUAGCUAGUUGGUGGGGUAACGGCUCACCAAGGCGACGAUACAUAGCCGACCUGAGAGGGUGAUCGGCCACACUGGAACUGAGACACGGCCCAGACUCCUACGGGAGGCAGCAGUAGGGAAUCUUCGGCAAUGGACGGAAGUCUGACCGAGCAACGCCGCGUGAGUGAAGAAGGUUUUCGGAUCGUAAAGCUCUGUUGUAAGAGAAGAACGAGUGUGAGAGUGGAAAGUUCACACUGUGACGGUAUCUUACCAGAAAGGGACGGCUAACUACGU